CAGAUUCUGAUUUAACCACUUGACGAUUUAGCAUCUACAUUCAUUAAACUUGUUAGACACUUGUAUAAACAAAUCAUCAUAACGGCAAACCACAAAGACAAGUUUACAAAUCAAAAUAAGAUAAUCCCAAAUAAUCAUACAUUCACCAUAACAAGUAUUAGAGAUAAUAUUUUAUUUCUUAAUUAUUUGAUGUAGUUUAAACUUAUUUAGUAGAAAUGUAUUAUUGACAACCCGAGAUGCUUUACUUUUGUAGUUGACUGUAUUGUUUUAUUGCCAAGUUUUUGUUUUAACAAUUGUUUUAUUAUGGAGUUCAAAUGUAUAAUUACUAUGUUAUUUAUUGUUAAUAUUUUUUAUGGUAAGUAAACUCUUACAAGUUUGAGUCAAGUUUACAAAAGCCUUCACAAGUUUCUAUGAACUCUCAAGUUUUACAAUCUUGAUUGCAUGCAUUUUGCUUCAAAUAGUUUUAUAUCAUUACAUGAUAGAUGUCCUUUAAAAUGCUAAACUCAAUAUUCUACCUAGGAUAAGGAGAUUAAAAACUCGUAAAUUGGGGAUCUUAACUUGGAUGGUAAGAUCCUAUGGUUUUACAUAAAAUGCAAAACUAUACAUAUAUAGUGCAUAUGCAUAAGAAUAUCAUAAACAAAGAAAAUAACCUCCAAAAUCACUACAUUAAAACAAAAUUAGAUUUAAAAGUUAUAACUAUAGUAAGUCAGGUAUCCAAAUAGUAUAAUCAGAAAUGUGAGAAAGAAAUUCUUAAUUCUAUUUGUUUAUUAGUUGACUAGAAAAUUAUGUUGUUGAACUAUCUUAGUAUUUAGGUUUAGGAUUUAACCUAACCACACAAUUUUCCAUUUAUGCGGGAUUUAUACUUACCCACUCACCUACCAUAAUGAAGGUGCACGUGGCUGCAAAUUAUGGUGGGCAAGGAUUGUCCUUAAUUAAUAUGCAUUUGAACCAACACCCCCUAUGCCAAGGACUAUAAGUCUGGAAUUGGUCAAUGUAGGUGACCCAACAAUUGAUUUAGGAUUGCCUUUGUUACCAUCAUAGAGUUUGAGCAUAGGGUCAAGCUCAAUCCCACAAAAUUAACUUCUAUGGUAAGGAUUACUAAACUGAAAAUGUUGCUACAGCCAAAGGAAGGUGCAAUAAUAAAAGUUAUAAGUGGCAAUACUCUAAGGCAACAAUGGAAUGACAAAGAAAAGGUUGAACAGUCCAAGAUGGAGAAGAUCACGAAUGGAUUGGGAAGGGCUUCAUAAAUAAGAAGAAAGGGAUUUUCCAGGGUGUGUUCAACUCAUAGCAUAGUAUGAUCCUACAUGGUAAAUAUUGACUUCAACAACAAUGGUCUUCUAGCUAAACAUGGAUGCAAAAGUAUGAAAAACCAUCCUUCAAACUAGGUCAUUGUUAGGUUCCUAGACAGAAAAACCAGAAUUCCCUCCCAAACACAGCAAGAAGAAAGAAAACUCUGUUUUAUUACAAUGCAGAACAGAACACCCAAAAGGGUUACAAAGGAGAAUAGCUCCUUUCACACAGGUUUAAUCCUCCUUUCACACAGGUUUAAUCCUGUCAACUUCUUACAACAAUUCAGAUAUCCCCUCCCCCACAGCAGGUUGGUCUUUAUUUAAAGACCCCCUCACCACAACUAACUAACCCAACAACUAACUAACCCGCUUAACCCUUAUUUUCAAAUUUCCUUCUAUGAUACACCCUCCAAGUGCUGUCUUUAUUUUCCUGCCUAACAUUACUCAUUUCUGACAAAACAACCUUGUCCUCAAGGUUGAAAUCAGGUCACUGCUCCUUAAUGUUCUUUUUCCAAAUCUUCCUCAAUCUGUCCCCACCCAGAAUGAUUCACCUCUGUAGGGUCUCCCUCAUCUUCUGCAAAAAUGAUAACCCUCAAAUUCUUUUCAGGGCAGCGAUGUCCGGGACCGUACGCCCCUCCACAAUGGAAACAUCUUCCCUCUUCCCUUAUUGUCACAUAUUCGGGAUAGGAAAGGGUCCUGGACCCCCUGUUUCUGGAUCCUUCUCCUGGCCGAAACUCUCUAUUGGAAGAAGAAGACUCAUUCCUUGCUGUGCUAGUCAAACUAGACGAGACUGGCCCACUAUUCCCCUUAUGCAAAUUUGUAUGGCAUGUUAUCCCGGUGCUUCCUUGAUAAUGCAGAAAAGACGCAUUAUUCCUAUGCCCAAAACUGCUAAUUUUUUCUUCCCUGAAGGACUCCUCAACAUCCAGCGCAAUCUCCAUGGCUUUCAUCAAUUCUUUGGGGUCAUGCGGUCUGAUUUGAUUACGAAUCUUGGACUGUAAUCCAGCAAAAAAAUACCCCAGCAGCUGUUCCUCCCCUGUCUGUGGUGCUUGUGACACUAACAUCUCAAAAUCUUGAAUGUAUUCAUCAAUUCUUCCAUUCUGUUUGAUCUUCGCCAGCUUCUCAAAAACAGAACUUCUCUCCUUUCCCCCAAACCUCCUAUUCAGCGCCAUGGAAAACUCUUCCCAAGAAGGAUUCUUGGAGUUCUUUCUCCAAAAACUGAACCAAGGACUGGCGCUUCCCUCCAUACUGAUGAAGGCCAGUUUUAAUCUUUCCCCUGCUAUCACAUUCUGCACCUCAAAGAAUUUUUCAGCUCUGGCCAGCCAACCCAUUGGGUCCUCGCCCUCAAACCCCGGUAACUCCACUCUCCUACCCCACGGCUUCAUCUCUCCUUCCUUCAUCUUUUCCCAUUGGCUAUCCUGCCUUGAUGGUUCCUCCACUCUUUCCUCACCAUUCACCGAACUCUCUCCCCCUUCCGACCUUCUAUCUCCUUUCUUGAGAUCCCGCAACAUUUCUUUGAUUUCUUUUAACUCCAGCAUGCCUUCUUUCAACCCCAGAAUUUCUGCUUUUAUUUCAGAAUUCCAUUUCAAUUGUUCGCUGGUAAAUUUCUCUACUGCUGCCAUCCUCUGUUCCAUCUUUUCUUCCUCACUCUCUGUUUUUUCAGAUCCGGCAGGUCGGACCAACUGUUAGGUUCCUAGACAGAAAAACCAGAAUUCCCUCCCAAACNNNNNNNNNNNNNNNNNNNNNNNNNNNNNNNNNNNNNNNNNNNNNNNNNNNNNNNNNNNNNNNNNNNNNNNNNNNNNNNNNNNNNNNNNNNNNNNNNNNNNNNNNNNNNNNNNNNNNNNNNNNNNNNNNNNNNNNNNNNNNNNNNNNNNNNNNNNNNNNNNNNNNNCUCACCACAACUAACUAACCCAACAACUAACUAACCCGCUUAACCCUUAUUUUUAAAUUUCCUUCUAUGAUACACCCUCCAAGUGCUGUCUUUAUUUUCCUGCCUAACAGUCAGUCACUAGUGUCAAGAACCUCAGCAUGGAUGUUAACUGAAUGGGAAGAAGAUAGCUAAUAGAGGCAUUGGAGUACCUAGGCGCCAUAUAUGUUUUCUUAUGUUAUAUAAAAUAAUCAUUUGGGGAUGGGGAAUUGAAAUUUGAACAAACCAACCUUUUGCUCGCCUGAUGGAAUCUUCAAAGUGUAACAACAACCACGUGGUUGAAUUUCACCAGCAAACUGUACUUCAUUGUUCCUAACAGAUAAAAUCAAUAAUUAUAAAAGAAAGAAAAAUUAAGAGGAAGAUCAAAGGAACUAAUUAUGUUCAACGCACACGGAGAGGGCAUAGACUAAAGGGCCGUUUACCUCUCACCACAAUGUGGACAUUCAAAAGCUGAUAACAAAAUCUGCAGGAAAUGUAAAUGUGACAAUGAGUUAUAUUUCAGAAAACUAAUGGACAGACAAAACAAAAGAAACAGCAGAUAAAAAUAAUAUGUAUUACGAUCCAUUAUGUAAUUUGUGAAUCAAUAAUGCUAAUUCAUUUAAUUGAAAUAUGUAACAAAUAACAUCAGGGAGAAAAGUGAAUGAGGCCUAAACAUAAGGAAAGACAGAAAUAAAGAUGAAAUUUAACUACAUAUAUGAUAUAUCCCAAUACCUACUAACAGUAACCACUUGCCAAUCACAAGAGCAAAUGGAGCAAUAGACAAGACAUACCUUUCUGAAGUGGGGAAUUAAAGUCAAUAAAAAUCUUGUAAUCCCCUGACAAACAUGACAGAAAUUCAAGUCAGAUGAUAAAAUUUAAAUAUUUUGGAUGAAGAUACAAUAUUAAGACUUAGGGUGAAUUUGACUCAUUUGUUGAGCGAUAAAUAAUUGUUUCCUUGAUUUUUAACAUGGCCCUGGAUAGAACAACACAAAAGACGAAACACACAAAAAAUGUAAAUAUUCAUUACUCAAUUACUCGGGUAAUAAUGUUGCUUGUAAAUAAA
rnacentral:lncRNA from 1 species